AAUUGACGGGGCCGCACAAGCGGUGGAGUAUGUGGUUUAAUUCGAUGCAACGCGAAGAACCUUACCUGGUCUUGACAUCCCGGAGACCCUUAGGAAACUAGGGGGUGCUUCCAUCUGGAAGAAUCUGGAGACAGGUGCUGCAUGGCUGUCGUCAGCUCGUGUCGUGAGAUGUUGGGUUAAGUCCCGCAACGAGCGCAACCCUCGCCUUUAGUUGCCAGCAGUUCGGCUGGGCACUCUAAAGGGACUGCCGGUGUUAAACCGGAGGAAGGUGGGGAUGACGUCAAGUCCUCAUGGCCUUUAUGACCAGGGCUACACACGUACUACAAUGGCCGAUACAAAGGGCAGCGACACUGCGAGGUGAAGCCAAUCCCGUAAAAUCGGUCUCAGUCCGGAUUGGAGUCUGCAACUCGACUCCAUGAAGUUGGAAUCGCUAGUAAUCGUGGAUCAGCAUGCCACGGUGAAUACGUUCCCGGGCCUU
rnacentral:rRNA from 1 species